UACGGGAGGCAGCAGUGGGGAAUAUUGCACAAUGGGCGAAAGCCUGAUGCAGCUAUGCCGCGUGUAUGAAGAAGGCCUUAGGGUUGUAAAGUACUUUCAUCGGGGAGGAAAAAACAAAACUAAUAAUUUUAUUUCUUGACGUUACCCGAAAAAGAAGCACCGGCUAACUCCGUGCCAGCAGCCGCGGUAAUACGGAGGGUGCUAGCGUUAAUCAGAAUUACUGGGCGUAAAGAGCACGUAGGUGGUUUUUUUAAGUCAGAUGUGAAAUCCCUGGGCUUAACCUAGGAACUGCAUUUUGAAACUGAAAUACUAGAGUAUCGUAGAGGGAGGUAGAAUUCUAGGUGUAGCGGUGAAAUGCGUAGAUAUCUGGAGGAAUACCUGUGGCGAAAGCGGCCUCCUAAACGAAUACUGACACUGAGGGUGCGAAAAGCGUGGGGAGCAAACAGGGAUUAGAUACC
rnacentral:rRNA from 1 species